CUUCUCUUACCCUGUAACUCGUCGUUCUCACUCUCUCGCAAAACCCUUCCCUUCCCUCAGGGCACCAACCAGAUUACCGCUGCCGGUCAGAGCUCUCCGCCCGCCGCUUAGAGCUAUCUGGCCGCCACUUCAAAGUCUCAUUCACAGGAUAUGGCUGCAACGCGAGGCUAUCUAGGAUUGACUACCUACUUAAUGUAGAUAUGGUAUUAUGAUUGCAAUUUAAGUGGACUUAUGGUAUUAUGAUUGCAACCACUACAAAAGAUCAAAAAAAGCAACUUCUGUUUCUCAGGUACAGGGACGCAAUUGAGUUACUUAAGUGGCUGCAAAAUGUUUACACUUUUGAUUAUGGUUUCUAAUUCUGGUUUGUGUUCAAGGGAGACCUUUGAAUUUUUAAUUGGGAGCAAAAAACAGGUUUUACAAUGAAGAAGGGAUGCAAUGUGGAGUGGAAGAGUUUGCAUUAUUAUGCUGGGGAGGGAUGGCAAGGUGUUCAUUCAGAGAGUGACAUAUGGUUAACUAUUUUUGGUCUUCUUAUGUGGAUGUAAUAUAUUCUGAUGUGCCUAAUGUCUUCUAUAAUAGAUUUCAGGUACGUUUUAUUCGAUGAGUAAUUAACCUUCCAUCAUUUUUUAAGUUUCAACUUUUUGCUGCAUUUGUAUAUUUCCUGUGUGAUUUAUUAUAGUUCGUUGUGGAAUAAAAACUUAUGAGAUUCGUAGAAAAAUAAGAUGGCAGAAUAUUUUUUAA